CCAGCGGCUUCACAGAUACCAGCUUGGAUGGCCAGCAGCUGAGGUGGCCGAUGUCUGGGGUCCUAGAGGGCUCUUGCCAGCCUCUGGAUCUCAAUGCCCUGUGAAGCACACUGGAGCUACCAAGCCUAGGGAGGCUCAGGGAUGAGAGCCCAGUACCCUGAGGGCAUAAAACCAACAAGGAACAGAGCUGGCGUAGUGGCCAGCUCCUGCUCCAGUUUUUACCUUGACUUCCUGCAACGAUGAACUGUGACCUGGAAGUGUAAGUGUCCCUCUCUCUGCCUGCUGUCCGUGGAUCAAGAUGUUAAAGCUCUGAGCUCCAUGCCUGAUGGUCUGCCUUUUACCAGACUUCCUGCCACGCUGAUGAUGGGUUGCCCUCUGAAACUGUAAGACAGCACCCAAUUAAAUGUUUUCUACUGUAUGUUGCCUUAGUCCUGGUGUCCCCUUACAGCAACAGAGCUGUGACCAAGACACCCACCCUUCUGGAAGUUAUUUUUGGUUAGAGCACUACACCACAGCAACAGAAUAAACCUAAGACAGCUCAUGUUUUGGUGGUGGAAAAUACACAUGCGCAUAUGUAUCUGUGUUGUACUCUAGUCUAGGAAAGGUUACUAAACGUGUUCUCUUUGCCUAGAUGCCCAGAUCUCUCUUUUAUACAGCGAUCCUGUGUUCUCACGUUAGCAUGCAUUCACCGAAAGGGCAACAGCGACGGUGCGGUGACCGGAAGUUCCCAGAUAAACCAGUUUGCCCAAUGGAAUUUGCCUUUGUGAAUUCCUGCCAGAUUGUGAAGGAGCCUGGCGCUAACCGGCUGAUUACAAAUGGCCUCGCCACGGACCAGCAAAAACCACAAAGGCAUGUGUGAUGUCACCCUGAAAGAGCCAGGCUGCACUUGAGACUUUCAAACUGUGCCGGAAUCAUUAAAGGCUAUGGAGACUUUGGACGUUAAGGCUCGAUGCAUUUUGCAUUAGAAGACGGCCAUGAGUCUCUGGGGACAAGAGGAGGCCAGGAUGGUUUUAGAACGAUGUGUUUGGGGGUGAAGCUGCCAAGCGGUGGAGAUGCGAUGCUAACCAUUUCCUACUUGACAGAAUCUAGAGUUACCUAGGAGGCCAGCCGCUGGGCGUGCCUCGGAGGGAGUAUUGAGAUGAGAGUGCUGGAGAUGCAAAGGCCCGCUCUAGUUGUGAGUGGCAUCCUUUCACCAGCUGGAGUCCCAGACUGAAUAAAGAGGAGAAAGCAAGCUGAGCAUCUUCAUUUAUAGUUCCCUGCCUCUGCACUGAAGCUGAAUGUGACUGGCCACCUCAAACUCUAGCUACCAUGCCUGCCCCAACCUGACAGACCGUGAGCUCAAAUAAACCCUUAUUCAUAGUUGCUUCUGCCAGGCGUCUCCUUGCAGCAAGGAGAUACAUAGCUAACACUGCUGUUUCCAGAUGAGCCACAUUUCUUCAGAGCUGAGUCUGCUGAGUAGUGACUUUCCAAGCAGAGGCACAAAGCUAGCUCACUGCUCACCCACACGAGCCUGGCUUAUCUCUGCUCCAUGGAUCAAGUAUUUCCCUAGUCGCUCAUGCACUUUCACGAGAAACGAAUCUGCUCAUAUCUCAGAUGGAGAAACUGAGGCCCUAAAGCUGCCGCCUAGGACAGAAGGUGUGUGGAGGCAAUUAAAGAGCUGAAGAGCCCGGACUGCAGAGAUGACGUGGCCCUGCCCCGUGCGAGUCCCCCCAACCCCCUAUGGGAAGAGCUCCAGGAGUCCCUGAAACCCCAAUGUCUCACCCACCCACCUGUCCCUAGUCUCAUACUGAAGGAAAUGUGCUGUGGCCGGGGACUGCACGCCGAGACCCUUCAUGUGUGCCUUGUCCUUUGUGCAUGCCUUGUCCUGCGCUCUCAAACCCAAGGGGAAAGGUCCCACUGGUCCCACUUCACAGAUGAGAAAAGAGAGGCCCAGAAGAAUGAGGUCUCAGGUUUACUCUCACCUCCAGGUCAAGGGGCAAAGCAGGGGCGUUGGCCAAGUUCAUCUGCUCUGCUGCUACCCACCCAGUCAAAAGCCUUGUGCUGUGUGAGGUUUGCCGGGGAAACGUGAACAAACUCACACUAGGUGGGACACUGACAACAGGAAAAGACACAAACAACUCCACCCAAGUCUACCCUGAUGAGCGUGAUGGCUAUCUUGGCUGUCAACCUGACCACAUCUAGGAGAAACCAGAACACGCAGGCGACUGGGGCUCCUGUGAAGGAGUUCUUUCUUAAUAAAUCAUUUGAAGUGGGAAGAUCCAUUAAUUCAGACCUCUGGGGUGUCAAGAUCUACCUCCAAUCUGGGCUGCACUUUCUGCUGGCAAUCUAUGUAAAGGAAACGGGAGAAGGAUGCUGGCUCUUCGUUGGCCUGCCUGUUCUUGCUAGCAAGCCCAUUCC